AUGUGUGUGUGUGUGUGUGUGUGUGCGCGCGUGUGUGUGUGCACGCGCGCGCGCACACACACACACACAGGCUG